CACCGCGGUUAGACGAGCAGGCCCAAGUUGAUAAUUCACGGCGCAAAGGGUGGUUAGGGAAAACAAAAACUAAAGUCGAACUAGCUCAUUACUGUGAUAAGCCUAUAUGAUAAAAUGAAGCCCACCCACGAAAGUGACUUUAUUACCCCUGAACCCACGAAAGCUAAGAAA
rnacentral:rRNA from 1 species